GACGAACCGUGCAACCGUUAUUCGGAAUCACUGGGCUUAAAGCGCGUGUAGGCGGGCCGGCACGUCGGUCGCUGAAAUCCCCCGGCUCAACCGGGGAAGCGGCGCCGAUACGACCGGCCUGGAGGGGCGUAGGGGGACCUGGAACUUCCGGUGGAGCGGUGAAAUGCGUUGAGAUCGGAAGGAACGCCCGUGGCGAAAGCGGCAUCCUGGACCAAUACUGACGCUGAGGAGCGAAAGCCAGGGGAGCAAACGGG
rnacentral:rRNA from 1 species